rnacentral:rRNA from 1 species
UACGUAGGGGGCAAGCGUUGUCCGGAAUCAUUGGGCGUAAAGCGCGUGUAGGCGGCUCGGUAAGUCCGCUCUGAAAGUCCAGGGCUCAACUGGAAUGCCGGUGGAUACUGCGGGGCUAGAGUCCGGAAGGGGCGAGUGGAAUUCCUGGUGUAGCGGUGAAAUGCGCAGAUAUCAGGAGGAACACCAAUGGCGAAGGCAGCUC